rnacentral:rRNA from 1 species
AUACAUGCCUACGACAUAGUGGUAAUGCAUAGGAUCCCAUUAGAACUCCACAAUUAAGUGUUCUCGGGCCAGAGUAGUAUUGGGAUGGGUGACCUCCCGAGAAGUCCUAAUGUUUUACAUG